GCGAGUGUGGUGAAAUUGGUAGACACGCCAGACUUAGGAUCUGGUGCCGCAAGGUGUGGGGGUUCGACUCCCUCCACUCGCA
rnacentral:tRNA from 1 species